rnacentral:rRNA from 2 species
UACGGGAGGCAGCAGGGGGGAAUUUUGGACAAUGGACGCAAGUCUGAUCCAGCCUUGCCGCGUGCGGGAAGAAGGCCUUCGGGUUGUAAACCGCUUUUGUCAGGGAAGAAACGCUCUGGGUUAAUACCUCGGGGUAAUGACGGUACCUGAAGAAUAAGCACCGGCUAACUACGUGCCAGCAGCCGCGGUAAUACGUAGGGUGCAAGCGUUAAUCGGAAUUACUGGGCGUAAAGCGUGCGCAGGCGGUUAUGCAAGACAGAUGUGAAAUCCCCGGGCUCAACCUGGGAACUGCAUUUGUGACUGCAUGGCUAGAGUACGGUAGAGGGGGAUGGAAUUCCGCGUGUAGCAGUGAAAUGCGUAGAUAUGCGGAGGAACACCGAUGGCGAAGGCAAUCCCCUGGACCUGUACUGACGCUCAUGCACGAAAGCGAGGGGAGCAAACAGGAUUAGAUACCCUGGUAGUCCACGCCCUAAACGAUGUCAACUGGUUGUUGGGAGGGUUUCUUCUCAGUAACGUAGCUAACGCGUGAAGUUGACCGCCUGAGGAGUACGGCCGCAAGGUUGAAACUCAAAGGAAUUGACGG